rnacentral:lncRNA from 1 species
CUGUUUUUCGAAUGUACAUAUUCAGUCUUAAACAGUCCUCGGUUAUUUUAUGACCAAAGGAAGACAAAUGUUCAAAUUUUGAAACAAAUCCGUUAGGCAGCAAUGCAUUUAAACGUUUGGUUCUGAUUUUCGGUUGAGUACAGACAGGGCCAUUAACAUUUCUAAAACCCCUUAAGAUAUUCCAGCGUUCCUUCGGAGUGUUUGGCACAGAGAAUCGAAGUGACAGACUCUGGAUUGAAGCAUAUUGUAAUCCAAAAUACCCUUCAACAUAUUGUAAAUUUGAGUGACGAGGAAAUUCAAUUAAUAAUCCUCGCAUUUCACCAUAAGGAGUUUUUAUUCUAGACUUUCCGUGUUGUUGUUU